UAGGGAAUCUUCGGCAAUGGGGGGAACCCUGACCGAGCAACGCCGCGUGAGUGAAGAAGGUUUUCGGAUCGUAAAGCUCUGUUGUUAAGGAAGAACGAGUGUGAGAAUGGAAAGUUCAUGCUGUGACGGUACUUAACCAGAAAGGGACGGCUAACUACGUGCCAGCAGCCGCGGUAAUACGUAGGUCCCGAGCGUUGUCCGGAUUUAUUGGGCGUAAAGCGAGCGCAGGCGGUUAGAAAAGUCUGAAGUGAAAGGCAGUGGCUCAACCAUUGUAGGCUUUGGAAACUGUUUAACUUGAGUGCAGAAGGGGAGAGUGGAAUUCCAUGUGUAGCGGUGAAAUGCGUAGAUAUAUGGAGGAACACCGGUGGCGAAAGCGGCUCUAUGGUCUGUAACUGACGCUGAGGCUCGAAAGCGUGGGGAGCGAACAGG
rnacentral:rRNA from 1 species